UGCCCACUUUGGCAGCACAAUACUAAAAGUAGAACCAUACAGAGAAUAGCAUGUCCUCCAUUUAAGAAUGACAUGUAAAUUCUUAAAGCUCUCCAUAUUAAA
rnacentral:snRNA from 1 species